AACGCAUAUCGCGCUCGAGGUUUCGGCCGAGAGCAUGUCUGCCUCAGCGUCUUUCUACUUCUCCCUAUCGACUCUCUGUAAGGGAGCCGGUCAGGGGAUCUGGUCGUUCCGAGCCCCGGCCGCUCGGAUCGGUCGAAAUGCAGAAGGGCCCUCCCCUCACUAACUGAAGGGUCUCGAAAGGUGGAUUGCCUGCGGGCGAUACCGAUCGAGGCCUGGAGGGGUUGCCGAGCCCUUUGAUCGGAGAUCACAUUCAGACUUUUGACCUGAGUUCAGGCAAGAUCACCCGCUGAACUUAA
rnacentral:misc_RNA from 1 species